rnacentral:rRNA from 1 species
AUUGAACGCUGGCGGCAGGCCUAACACAUGCAAGUCGAGCGGAUGAAGGGAGCUUGCUCCUGGAUUCAGCGGCGGACGGGUGAGUAAUGCCUAGGAAUCUGCCUGGUAGUGGGGGAUAACGUCCGGAAACGGGCGCUAAUACCGCAUACGUCCUGAGGGAGAAAGUGGGGGAUCUUCGGACCUCACGCCAUCAGAUGAGCCUAGGUCGGAUUAGCUAGUUGGUGGGGUAAGGGCCUACCAAGGCGACGAUCCGUAACUGGUCUGAGAGGAUGAUCAGUCACACUGGAACUGAGACACGGUCCAGACUCCUACGGGAGGCAGCAGUGGGGAAUAUUGGACAAUGGGCGAAAGCCUGAUCCAGCCAUGCCGCGUGUGUGAAGAAGGUCUUCGGAUUGUAAAGCACUUUAAGUUGGGAGGAAGGGCAGUAAGUUAAUACCUUGCUGUUUUGACGUUACCAACAGAAUAAGCACCGGCUAACUUCGUG